GGGUAUGUGUCUAGGGUCCCCUGGAACUUUAGAAGGGAGCCACAGAGGCUGUUUCAGGGGACACUGCAGCAAUUUCCAGGAACCAGCAACUGGAACCUUCCCUUCUAUGUCCCUCCACUCUCUCUCUGUUCCCUAGCUCUGAGCUGUGUUGCGGAGCCUGCAUCGGCUUUUACCACUGGGUGAUGACAGCAGUGACGGGAGGCGUGGGUGUGGCCGCAGCCCUGGCUCUCUGCAGCAUCCUCAUCUGGCCCAUUCGCAUUCGCACCCGUGGGUCUCCAUCAGUGGGACUUGGGUGGAGGCAGGGUGCAACCUGGGACCCGCCCUUGACAACGCCAACCCACUCCUUAUUUCAGGGGACCCCAGAGACCGGCCCUGACUUCUGGCUCUCCAGGGUGACAUGGUGAAGGACCAAAC
rnacentral:lncRNA from 1 species